UACGGAGGGAGCAAGCGUUAUCCGGAUUCACUGGGUUUAAAGGGUGCGUAGGUGGGUUGGUAAGUCAGUGGUGUAAUCUCCAGACUUAACUUGGAAACUGCCAUUGAUACUAUCAAUCUUGAAUACCGUGGAGGUCAGCGGAAUAUGUCAUGUAGCGGUGAAAUACUUAGAUAUGACAUAGAACACCAAUUGCGAAGGCAGCUGGCUACACGAAUAUUGACACUGAUGCACGAAAGCGUGGGGAUCAAGCAGG
rnacentral:rRNA from 1 species